rnacentral:rRNA from 1 species
UUGACGGGGCCCGCACAAGCGGUGGAGUAUGUGGUUUAAUUCGAUGCAGCGCGAAGAACCUUACCUGGUCUUGACAUCCCGGAGACCCUUAGGAAACUAGGGGGUGCUUCCAUCUGGAAGAAUCUGGAGACAGGUGCUGCAUGGCUGUCGUCAGCUCGUGUCGUGAGAUGUUGGGUUAAGUCCCGCAACGAGCGCAACCCUUGCCUUUAGUUGCCAGCAGUUCGGCUGGGCACUCUAAAGGGACUGCCGGUGUUAAACCGGAGGAAGGUGGGGAUGACGUCAAGUCCUCAUGGCCUUUAUGACCAGGGCUACACACGUACUACAAUGGCCGAUACAAAGGGUAGCGACACUGCGAGGUGAAGCCAAUCCCGUAAAAUCGGUCUCAGUCCGGAUUGGAGUCUGCAACUCGACUCCAUGAAGUUGGAAUCGCUAGUAAUCGUGGAUCAGCAUGCCACGGUGAAUACGUUCCCGGGCCUU